UAUUCAUUUCGCAAAAUACAGAAAAUUUAACCGGGUAGCAACGACUUUCGACUUGGCCAGACUUUUGCUACCACACGAACCGGUUGGCUCCAACCAAGGUCGUAGUCGUUGAUUUACACACACACGGUUGGACGACGAAUUAAUUAUCGCCGGGACGAACCAGUCGAUUCGGUUCCCCCAAAUAUCCGGAAUUCGACGUGGCGGGCACAAGGGGACACGGUCGAUUAACGCUCGCCAAAUAAAUAAUCCCCGGCCGAUAAAACGAACGAUUGCGCAAGAAUCCACGGCCGACGCGCCCUCUCCCCCUUUUCAGGCCAUAAAUCACUUACGAAUUAACCCCUCUAAUUGGUACGGUGGUAUUUAAAUCGACGACGGAGUUGGUAACCACGGAGCGGAGAAUGCGGACGCGUUCUGUAAGCCGAGGACGCGUUUUUACGCGGUCGAUUUAAUUCCCCCGUUUAUAAUUAAGUCGACGCUUCCUCGUCACCAACAGCUGGAUUCUGGGAUAAUUCUGGUGUGCAUGGGAUAAUUAGAAUUUUCAAUUUAGAACGGGUGGAAAUGAGUUCGUGAACUGUGAAUAUUCGCGAAGGAUGAAGAUUCAAGUUUAAAGGGACGAGAGGGAAUCCAUGGUGGAAGAUGGAGUCAAGAGAAGAUGAUUGUGUCUGUAUACAGAGUGUCGUGAUUUUUAACUGGCAAUUGUCAGUAUAUUGUUCUAAUAGAUGAGAGAAAAAUAUUAUACGUGAAUGAAUAUUCAUGAUAUAAUGGUGGUGAUUUAUAUUCGAUUGUAACUGAUGUUGAAAUGAGGCAGUAAUUUUGCAAAUUUGUAAUUGCAAUUAAUAACUGUAAUAAAAUUUAAAUAGUGGAGAUUUGUA